GCAGCACCCCAGCAAACUAAGCUCUUGAAACCAAACUAGGCAUGGAAGCGGGUGCACAUGCCUAGUGCCAGCUCCCCUGUGCCUUCUCUACAACACGGCUUUCCGAGGACUUCUGCCUUAGGAGGCCUACCGGAGAUGUUCCUGCAAGGCCUGCUUACAAAUCCAGCUAGGAAGAGCAGGCUCCAGGAAAAACAUCAUGGUGUAAGAAGCAAUUUUGCAAAUGGGAUUCAAUCCAGCUUCCAGCUACACUGAUGCAUAUGCUUUGAGAGCUUUGUAGUCUUGAAGAAAAGGGUAAAGAGACUGUUAUCUGCCUACAUCAAAUGGAAUGAACAACUUGUUUUUAAUACUUCAAAGGAUCUGUGAUUCCGUUAAUUCAGAUACUCUGUCCAACAAUAACAAUGACUUUAUGAUUUUGUAAGGGUCCUCGUGAGCCACCCCUUCUCCCAAAAUGGAUCCUGCGGUGCCCAUCCUUCUUGUGUUACACCUCUCCAAGGCUCGUUCUUUGAUAAAAGCUAUUGUAGCCCAUUGUCUGACCCACACUCAAAGCCUUUGGCAAAAGUUGCCAGAGCUUAAGUCACUUAUUGAUUGGGCUUUGAAACUCCCAGGUUGUCUCCAUGCCAUGAUGAGGUAUUA